UACGUAGGGGGCAAGCGUUGUCCGGAUUUAUUGGGCGUAAAGCGCUCGCAGGUGGUUCGUUGCGUCGUGCGUGAAAGACCCCGGCUCAACUGGGGAGGGUCGUGCGAUACGGGCGAACUGGAGGCCAGUAGGGGGAUGCGGAAUUCCGGGGUGUAGUGGUGGAAUGCGUAGAGAUCCGGAGGAACACCAGCGGCGAAGGCGGCAUCCUGGACCGACACGUGACGCUGAGGAGCGAAAGCCCAGGGGAGCAAAGCGG
rnacentral:rRNA from 1 species